AAGAGCGGCCAUAUCACCCUGCAACUCACAACUGGAUAUGGCCGCUGGCAACCCACUGAAGCUAAGCAGGUGUGAGCCUGGUCAGUACCUGGAUGGGAGACCUCCUGGGAAAAACUAAGGUUGCUGCUGGAA
rnacentral:rRNA from 1 species